rnacentral:rRNA from 1 species
UACGUAGGGUGCAAGCGUUGUCCGGAAUUAUUGGGCGUAAAGAGCUCGUAGGCGGCGUGUCGCGUCUGCCGUGAAAACCUGCGGCUCAACCGGGGAGGGUCGCGGGAAACCGACCGGCUUGAGGACAGAAAAGGAAAGUGGAAUUCCCGGUGUAGCGGUGAAAUGCAUAGAUAUCGGGAGGAACACCAGUGGUGAAGACGGCUUUCUGGUCUGUUGCUGACGCUGAGGAGCGAAAGCCGAGGGGAGCGAACCGGACUAGAUACCCUGGUAGUCCCUGAGCGGG